AACAGGACACGCUCAGCACGGGACAGAGAGAAGCCGGCCGGCAGAGCAACACCACUAACAGGAGUAAAGUGUUUCAACUGGAUAAGACAAGCUGGAAAAAAGGACACCAUACCAUUUUCUAAGCACCUCACAUGCAAAGUAACUCCUGGAUUUGAACAGCCUCACACCUCCACAUGCAGCUCAUGCACCAGUGUCCCGACUCCUCUCUGUGAGACAAGGGGCUGUGCUGUACCUCUGUAUUUCACGCUGACCUCUCCUGUCCCAGACAAACUGUCCCAGCGUGCCUUGACUGUGAUCGGCCGAGCCAUUACUGUUUCUCCUCUCCCCUGGCCGCUGCAGGCCCCUGGACCCCCACUCAGCCUUGUGCCUCCAUGCGGGGCGGGAUGAGGCGGUGGGGGCCCUGUCUGCGGGCCCCCUCCCUCUUCUGCUCAGUGAGUCCGGGAACCUCCGGACGUAGAGCACUGGUCUCAGACGUGUCUACUCUCACAGAUCUUUGUUCAGACCUGCCAGAGUUGGAGAUCGUGAGCCUGUUGUCAGAGGGUCAGCCCAACUACACGCUCCGAGCACACAGUGUGUUUGGAUAUGACAAUGAUGACUGGGUGCACACCCCUCUGGUGCCCCAGAGGUCGUCCUGGGACUCACCUGUGAGCAGAUUGAAGAGACCUUCAAGUAUUUCCUCCAACGUGGCCAGGUGAACGGAGGCAGGCAUGACGACAGAUGGGUCUCACAGUGAGAGAGGGAUUACAUAUUACUGCACAGUGCACACAGACGCAUCACAACACAAGACAGGCGGACAGUGUUGUGCCCACAUGUCCGUAGAUCCAUAUGCAAAAACAACGCUUCAUCAAACGUGACAUUUUACCUCUAAGAUAGUGCACAGGAAGGACAUAGUUGACGUUUUUGCGGACAUCAUGGAAGUGUGGAGCUCCUCGGAGGACGAUGAGGAAAAAGCUGCAGCUCUGUCCACUCGUUUUGCUGAGGAUGUUUUGGAGUCAGAGGAAAUAAAAUGCCUGAAUAGUAAUAACAAUAACAAUAACAACAACAACAUCAAGGGAGCCUUUGCCAAGAGGUGACACAAGGUAAGAUGCGAGAAUGAGGAGAGGGGUGAAGGUUAGUGGCAGGAUGUGUCAAAUUACAAUCUUUGAGCUACAUAUUUAAAUAAUUUAAUUACGGCUGUAGGAAACAUUACCUUGUGCAUUUUCAAUUGGUAAACUCAAGUUGGUUUAAGAACUUAAUGUAUGGUCCUAAACUGUGUGCCCUUAAUUCUGUAGAGCUGCAGUAAGCAAUGUCAUUGUAGAGGCGUAAUUCAGACUGCUGUCAAAAUUCUGUAGCCCAUCCCGCUGCAGCAUAUGUAUUUUGUAAAUAUUGUGUCAGCUUCAGUGGUGAAGGUCACUUUGCGAAUAACACCCCAUAGAGAAACAUGGUCUUACAUUUGCAAAAAGUGAGACCUAUCACUGAGUGGCAGUGGCAGUAAACUGUUCUUCUGGCCCAUUUCAGAGUAUUG
rnacentral:lncRNA from 1 species